rnacentral:rRNA from 1 species
AGAGCGAACGCCGGCGGCAGGCCUAACACAUGCAAGUCGAGCGCCCGUAGCAAUACGGGAGCGGCAGACGGGAUAGUAACACGUGGGAACGCGCCCUUCGGUUCGGAAUAACUCAGGGAAACUUGAGCUAAUACCGGAUACGCCCUUACGGGGAAAGAUUUAUUGCCGAAGGAACGGCCCGCGUCCGAUUAGCUAGUUGGUGAGGUAAUGGCUCACCAAGGCGACGAUCGGUAGCUGGUCUGAGAGGAUGACCAGCAUCACUGGGACUGAGACACGGCCCAGACUCCUACGGGAGGCAGCAGUGGGGAAUAUUGGACAAUGGGCGCAAGCCUGAUCCAGCCAUGCCGCGUGGAUGAUGAAGGCCUUAGGGUUGUAAAGUCCUUUUAACGGGGAAGAUAAUGACGGUACCCGUAGAAUAAGCCCGGCUAACUUCGUGCCAGCAGCCGC